rnacentral:rRNA from 1 species
GGACUACAGGGGUUUCUAAUCCUGUUUGCUCCCCACGCUUUCGCGUCUCAGCGUCAGUAUCGUCCCAGCGAGCUGCCUUCGCCAUUGGUGUUCCUCCUGAUAUCUGCGCAUUUCACCGCUACACCAGGAAUUCCACUCGCCUCUUCCGUACUCUAGCCCGACAGUAUCCACCGGCUUUCCAAGGUUGAGCCCUGGACUUUCACAGCGGACUGAUCGAGCCGCCUACACGCUCUUUACGCCCAAUGAUUCCGGACAACGCUUGCACCCUACGUAUUACCGCGGCUGCUGGCAC